rnacentral:rRNA from 1 species
CCUACGGGAGGCAGCAGUGAGGAAUAUUGGUCAAUGGGCGAGAGCCUGAACCAGCCAAGUCGCGUGAAGGAUGACGGAUCUAUGGUUUGUAAACUUCUUUUAUAUGGGGAUAAACUGAGGAACGCGUUUCUUUCUGUAUGUAUCAUAUGAAUAAGCAUCGGCUACCUCCGUGCCAGCAGCCGCGGUAAUACGGAGGAUUCGAGCGUUAUUCGGUUUUAUUGGGUUAAAGGGGUGCGUAGGUGGUGAAUUAAGUUAGCGGUGAAAGUCUGGGGUUAAACCAGAAAAUUCCCGUUGAAACUGGUUGAUUUGAAGUAAUUUCGGGUGGCCGGAAUGCGUGGUGUGGCGGUAAAAUGC